rnacentral:lncRNA from 1 species
GUCGGACUUGCCCGGUAGGAGGAGUUGCGUGUCAGCCGGCUGGGCUGGGCUGGGCUGGGCAGGGCAUCGGAUCUUACGGUCUUCAUCAGAGCUUUGAUUGGCGCGGGGGGAGUCNGUCAGGGAAGCUUUUCGUAGAGCGAAGCACACGAGAGGGCUGGUCCNGAAUAUUUAUUUCUCGCCUUUGAACGUGGAAAUUUCUCAUUUUUGCUCGCCGCUGCUUAACUGACGUGGGUCACGCACUGCGGUAAAAACCGGCUGCAGGAGCACGAAAGCUGCAAACCUCGCGUGGAAAUUAUUUCUUCUUUCUCAGCUCACAAUUUCUAACGGGGAAAGGGAAAUAUUGGCAUUCUCCAGACAUUGUUCAGGNUUUUAAGAAGGACAUAUGUACUGAUGCUGUUCAGAAAGACAAUCAAGACAUGGAUUAUUAA